rnacentral:rRNA from 1 species
GAUGAACGCUGGCGGCGUGCCUAAUACAUGCCAGUCGAGCGAACAGACGAGGAGCUUGCUUCUCUGAUGUUAGCGGCGGACGGGUGAGUAACACGUGGAUAACCUACCUAUAAGACUGGGAUAACUUCGGGAAACCGGAGCUAAUACCGGAUAAUAUUUUGAACCGCAUGGUUCAAUAGUGAAAGACGGUCUUGCUGUCACUUAUAGAUGGAUCCGCGCUGCAUUAGCUAGUUGGUAAGGUAACGGCUUACCAAGGCAACGAUGCAUAGCCGACCUGAGAGGGUGAUCGGCCACACUGGAACUGAGACACGGUCCAGACUCCUACGGGAGGCAGCAGUAGGGAAUCUUCCGCAAUGGGCGAAAGCCUGACGGAGCAACGCCGCGUGAGUGAUGAAGGUCUUCGGAUCGUAAAACUCUGUUAUUAGGGAAGAACAUAUGUGUAAGUAACUGUGCACAUCUUGACGGUACCUAAUCAGAAAGCCACGGCUAACUACGUG